AAUAAAUAAAUAAAUAAAUAAGUAACCAAUUUAAAUUUUAAAGUGAUGUAGGACAGGGUUAAGGAACCUGACUUUGAAUGCUUUAAUGGGAUGCAGAUUGAAAGCAAUUUAUGAUUUUAAGGUCCCAAUUUAAGGAAGAAGGAAAGCUAAUGAUGAGAAUUUGAAUUGGAGGUUAUUAGAGAGUGAAAAGAAGAAAAAUUACUUGUUGUGUUGAAGCUGUGAACAAUACCUGAAGUACUGUGGCAGCAGAGGGAAGGAAGAAAAGAAGGAAGAGGGGGAGAAAAGGGAGAAAAUUGGCACCAAGCCUUUCAAAUCAAACACUUAUAAUUUUAUGAACAAAAUCGUAAGAAAAUAACCAAGUUGUAUGAUAACUUAUAGAGAUUUAAUUAAUCCUUAGUCUGACUAUGAUUGAGAAUUCAAAAAUGGGAAGAUUCUAAUCCUACUCCUGCUAGGAUUAUGAAUUCCAAACUAGAAAAAUUCUAAAUUAAUACUGAUAGGAAGCAAACAACUUUCAAAAUAUUCCUAAUGGUAACAAAAAAAAUCCCUAAAUAAUACUAAAACUUAAACUUCCUAAAUAGAAAUUUACAAGAAAAUCUGAAGUUGUAGUUAAGAAUUAAGUCAAAACAAUCCUUAAAUCUAAUCUUACUUGACGGCAUCAUAAAGAGCGCAUGACCUGGAGUGGAGUUUUUAGACUUAAAUCAUAUUACAAUAUGAUGAGAUUUCCGUCCAAAGGCCUAAGCAACUAAAAUAACAGAAAUCUUUCCCCAUCACUUAGUUCAAAAGCAAAAGCAUGAAAUAAAAACUAAAGCUCAAAUUCUACUCUAUCAUCUUUGUCUGUGAUUUUUAGAAGA
rnacentral:misc_RNA from 1 species